CACCCUCUAGUGUCACUUCAGCUUGAAUCAACCAUUGUUGAUGUGAGGACUUCAACCAUUGCUCAGACUGACUUCCCCCUUUCUCUCCGGCUCUCAUGGGAAGGGCGGACAUCCCAACUGUAUUAAUGCUAUGCUUGAACAGCUUUUCUAAAAUAUACAACAGUGUGGAUUAUUCUGACAAAUAGACGAGAAAACACCAGAGAACACCGUUGUCCUCUGUGUCAGUUUCUCCCAAGUCUGUGCCUGUCAUCUUCUGGUCCGGAGACAUAGCCUGCCCUGUGCCCAGUGUCUGGCCACCAAGUCCUUGGGAGCAUGCCUGAACUUUCCAGUUCCUGUUUGUGAUCCCACGGAGCUUGCCUCCAGCACAGCCCUGAAUGGCGCCAUUGUGACAGCCUGCAUGAUGUUUAAGAUGCUGAGAGGGGCCGCAUUACCAAAGAAUGUCUUUCAGGAGAGGAAAACUAAAUGACCGGUAGGGUCUCUGAUGGUUUCAGAGCUCAUCCCUGUGUCUAGGCUGACUGACCUGUGACCUUCAAGCUUCACCUACCUCUACCUGCCCAGCACUAGGUUUACAGAUGCACAUAGCCAAGCCCUGAAUUUUACAUGGAUUCCACAGGUCUACCCUUGUGUCCUCAAGCUUCCACAGCAAGAAUUGUACUGACAUAGACAUCU